rnacentral:rRNA from 1 species
AUUGAACGCUGGCGGCAUGCCUUACACAUGCAAGUCGAACGGUAACAGGUCUUCGGACGCUGACGAGUGGCGAACGGGUGAGUAAUACAUCGGAACGUGCCCAGUCGUGGGGGAUAACUACUCGAAAGAGUAGCUAAUACCGCAUACGAUCUGAGGAUGAAAGCGGGGGACCUUCGGGCCUCGCGCGAUUGGAGCGGCCGAUGGCAGAUUAGGUAGUUGGUGGGAUAAAAGCUUACCAAGCCGACGAUCUGUAGCUGGUCUGAGAGGACGACCAGCCACACUGGGACUGAGACACGGCCCAGACUCCUACGGGAGGCAGCAGUGGGGAAUUUUGGACAAUGGGCGAAAGCCUGAUCCAGCAAUGCCGCGUGCAGGAUGAAGGCCUUCGGGUCGUAAACU